rnacentral:tRNA from 1 species
GGGGAUGUAGCUCAGUUGUGGAGCACUUGCCUGGCAUGCACAGAGCCCUGGAUUCAAUCUCCAGCACCUCAA